ACAAUCGGAAUUGAAUCCGCUUAGAACCAGAUUGGUGUUUAAAGCUAAAAAUUGACAACAGAACGUUACAACGGUUCGAUUGGCAGAUGAAAGAUACUUAAUUAUCAGUCAACAGCGGAAAACAGGGUAACUGAAAUUGAAUUCCAUUAACAGCUUGUUUUAAACUCAUGCAGGAUUCAGAAGCAAGUACAAGCAUGGAUAUGGAUGAUUCAAACACAACACAAUACAAGCAUGGAUGAGCUUGGAUGAUUCAAACACUACACAUACAAGCAUGGAUGAGCCAUUGGUUAUCAGAUCUGACGGGAUUCGAACAGAAAAAUUAUCACAGAAAUCAGAUCUACAGCAACAGAGAAAUGAAAAACAGAACAGAAACUCAGAUCUAAA